rnacentral:rRNA from 1 species
CGCGGCCGAUUAGCUAGUUGGUAAGGUAAAGGCUUACCAAGGCGAUUAUCGGUAGCUGGUCUGAGAGGACGAUCAGCCACACGGGAACUGAGACACGGUCCCGACUCCUACGGGGGGCAGCAGUGAGGAAUAUUGGGCAAUGGGCGAAAGCCUGACCCAGCAACGCCGCGUGGAGGAUGAAGGCUUUAGGGUUGUAAACUCCUUUUGUGGGGGAAAAGAAUGGAUGGUACCCCAAGAAUAAGUCACGGCUAACUACGUGCCAGCAGCCGCGGUAAUACGUAGGUGACAAGCGUUAUCCGGAAUUACUGGGCGUAAAAGCGCACGCAGGCGGUCAGAUAAGUCUGAUGUGAAACCUUCUGGCUUAACCAGAAGACGUCGUUGGAUACUGUUUGACUUGAGGCGAUGAGAGGAAUGCGGAAUCCCCGGUGUAAUGGUGGAAUAUGUAGAUAUCGGGGGG